CAAACAGUAUUUUAACGCAGAAUUCUGACCUUGGGUGUCGGUGGUGGGAGUUGGAGUCUUUCCUGUUUGA
rnacentral:tRNA from 1 species